rnacentral:rRNA from 1 species
GAUGAACGCUGGCGGCGUGCCUAAUACAUGCAAGUCGAGCGAACAGACGAGGAGCUUGCUCCUCUGACGUUAGCGGCGGACGGGUGAGUAACACGUGGAUAACCUACCUAUAAGACUGGGAUAACUUCGGGAAACCGGAGCUAAUACCGGAUAAUAUAUUGAACCGCAUGGUUCAAUAGUGAAAGACGGUUUUGCUGUCACUUAUAGAUGGAUCCGCGCCGCAUUAGCUAGUUGGUAAGGUAACGGCUUACCAAGGCAACGAUGCGUAGCCGACCUGAGAGGGUGAUCGGCCACACUGGAACUGAGACACGGUCCAGACUCAUACGGGAGGCAGCAGUAGGGAAUCGUCCGCAAUGGGCGAAAGCCUGACGGAGCAACGCCGCGUGAGUGAUGAAGGUCUUCGGAUCGUAAAACUCUGUUAUUAGGGAAGAACAAAUGUGUAAGUAACUAGGCACGUCUUGACGGUACCUAAGCAGAAAGCCACGGCUAAAGACG